CGGAUCGUUACUGACCCCUUUUAUGCUGUACGAUACGGCCAUUUGUGCUUACAAUACGACACGGUGAUCAAUGUCUUUGUUAAUAAGGAUCGAUGGUAAUUAGGGAAAUUUUUAUUUUUUUUGGAGGUGAUCUGGUAACCCUGCCUGAUAGUUGACAGUACACUAACACUCUUGCACCAAGUUAUUUUGCAGUCAAGGCAUUUCGACAUUCCGAAAAGAGUUUUCAAAGAGACCAGAACAAGACUUGCAAUACCAAGAGUGGUGGGCAGUGAAUGAAAAUUAAACAUUACCCUGGUUACAAAAGAUUUUUUUUUAUAAACGGAACAUAAAUUGUUCAUUGGCGAUUGGAUUUUCUUGCACACAUACACCUGUGUUGCGGCAAUUAUUUUACGACCGUGGAGUUGAGAAAUUUUACGCAGUGAGGUGAACGUUGACCAGAGGGGUUUCUGAUAACUUCAUCGGCCUCCUGGUGCGGAUUUUUUUUUGCUGGGAAACUGUGUCGGCUGCCACCACUAAGGUGUUUCUGGGGGCGACCGAAAUUAUCAUCGGUCUUUGUGUUAUACACGACUACACAAGACAUAGACGUGAUAGGUGCCCAGCUACUCCAUAAUUUUACCAUUUCAUCUUGGUAAGUGCAAUUGCACUAAAUCAUAUCACUGCCGCAGCCUGUUACUCCAACAGGCGUUGAAUUUGUCGCUGAGAAGAGUCUGCUUAGGGGAAGAGAAAGGAGCCCUAAGUCGCCAUAGGCGCACAUUGUCUUUUUGGAUUUGUCAAAUCGUAUUGGGAGUUGCGGCUGCCCAUACGUCCCAGCUUUUGAGCCCCCAAGCUCGUCAAAUUGGAAAUAUUUUUCGGUGAUGUAUACAUGAAAUUGAAGCACAUGUAGUAAAAGUAGUAUAUAAGUACUCAUAGGCAUAUACAUAAUCCAUAUACAUACUAAGUUUUUUUUUUUUUUCUUUUUCCUUCAUUUCUCAUCAUAACGGUACUAAACAUUGAUCUUUAAACAACACAUACAUACCCAUAGUGAAUUUGAGUGUAAAGUAAAUCACCAAUAAAUGAAAUGGGUGCAUAACAUGUAUAUGUGUAUGUAUGUGUGAGAAACAUUUUUACAUUUAACUUAAAUUUUGGACUUAAGAGAAUACAUUCUUGGUGGUGUAAAGACUGAUAGGUGUCAUACCGGUUUUUUUUUUGUUAUUGUUGUUUUCCCAUCCACACUUUUACAAUGCAAUAGCCAAAAUGAUAACGGUUAGUUUCUGAUUUUAGUAUUCUGGAUUAUUGAGCUCUAUCAUCCACGACAAUAAUUUUUUUUUCCUUUCUCCCUGGACAUAAAUGAAAUAGCAAUAGCAAAAAUAAAAUGAGACAUUUAUUUUAUUUUUUUUUUUUUCCCAACAUAAUGCAGACAUCUAACGGUCUCUAAAGCUUUUUAUUUUUGGUGUUUCUCCAAAGAACGUUUUAUUUUAAACUAGGAUGAAUUAAUAAAUUCAUCAUGUAUUUUCUUAGUGUCAUUCAUUCAAAUUAUACUUGAACAAAAUAGGCUUAGUAUAUAAAUUUAAUUAUAUUUUUGUUUUGUUUUGAUACUUAAGAUUUAUGAUGGCUAUGCCAAAAUAUACUGAAUUUAAUAUGAA